GAAAUGAAAUGUUACUUCUGUAGGAAAAAAAAAAAUUGAUCCCAGAGCUAUUUCUGUCACCUGCUGUCCCUUUGGGAUAUUCUUUCUUCUACUCUUUCUUCAACUCUCCUUCCCUUUCCAUUUGCUUUUUCCUUUUCUUCUUUCUUUUCUCCUUUCAAUCUCCUAAACACUCUGUAAUUCUCUAAUAACAAUAGCUAGCAUUUAUACAGCAUUUUAAGGUUUGCAAAGUGCUUGACAACUAGCUCAUUUUAAUCAUCACAAGAUCCCUGCUAUUAUUGCCCCAUUUUACAGGUGUGGAAACUGAGACAGGCAAUAGUUAAAUGACUUGCCUAGGGUAACAAGUGCAAAAGUUAAAAUUAAAUCUCAAUAAUAAAACAUUAUAUUUUAGGAGAUUUAUUAAUGAUCAUUAGAAACCAAGGAAUAAAGAGGAUACAAAAUAAAGACCACAUGCUCAUGGUUGAUUAGCCAUUUCAAAAUCCCCACUCACCACUGCCAUGCUCGCCAACAGGGCCAAAAAGAGAGCCGGACCCUCUACGUCCCUGCCUAAUAUCCCCUGUCUACAGGAAGUACAUAAUGACAGGUCAGUGGGCUCCUGGGAAAUGUAGUUCUUUUUUAGGGUAACAGAUUUUCAAUUAUACACAAGGCUAGUAAGUGUCUAAGGAUGAAUUUAAACUCAGGUCUUCUUGAUUCCAGAUCCAGCGUGAUCCAUGUUGAAUUUAUGAGAUAAUUUAAAAGAAAAUCAAGAUGUGUAUACAAUAGAGAGUCACAGUUCCACAAUGUGUCAUAGAAAUGUUCAUUUUAUUUGGUGUUUUUUAAGUUCAGAAUUUUUUUAAUGGAAAAAAUGGUUUCUUUCUUUUGUCUAUGUGUAUCCCAAUUUCUACUUGUAUCAUCUUUUUAUUCUUUCAUCAGAGGAAAAGAUCUUUCUUUCAAGGUCAUUCCCUUUACUUGGUGACCUCAAUCCCAUUUCCUUCUGCCUCCUUUAGGACCAAUCUUGCUCUGCCAUUCCUUCUACACUUACUAUGCUUCCUUGGCCUUUUCACAAUUAUCUUCUGUGAAGUCACAGAACAGCAUAUCAUAGCUACUCUGAGUCUUCUUGGUCUUCCAGCAGUUUUCUUGGUCAAAAGGUGAAAUGGGCGUUACAAUUUCAUGCCUAUGAAUUUUCCUUGGGCACUAAGAGACUAUUUAGAAUUUUAUGCUUGAGAGGGUUCUAGAGUAUGCCUAGGGAACAAUGUGUUGUUCUAUUGAACUGAAUUUCUUAGAGUCAACCAGAAAACCCUCUGGUUUUCAAUCCACUGUUGUUAGAAAUAUUUCUAACAUUGGUAUUUCAACCGGUUUUCCUAAGUCAGUAAGUAGAGUAUAUGGAAGAAUGCUUUUAAUCUUUGGUGUUAAGGACCUGAGCAUUAUGCAGUCCUACGGAGGAGAUGAUGUUGGUUAUUGCAUUGUCCCUACAGUGACUUCAGGAUCAACUCUCAGAGUUGUUUUUUAGACUACAUCACUGCAAGGAACGUUUUUCCUUCUUUUUAUCAUUUGGCUUUUCUCUUCACACUGGAAUAUCUCCUCCAUGUGCUUAAAAAACUACAACCGCAAGGUUCUGGCUAGUUAGGUUCCAGUUAAUGGAUAAUUUGUUUUAAUUAUGUAGAAACUAUUCAGAUAGUUCUAAACUUACACAUUUCCCUUGAAUCCAAAUGCCUGACACCCAAUGACUACCCCAGGAACACGCCUUCCUGCUGUUUUGCUACUUGAAUUUUAUAUGAUCAUAAGAUUUAGAACUAGGAGAGACAGGAAAGAUACUCUAAGAUGAUCUAUUCCAAUCUUCUUGUUUUGCAGAUGAGGAAACUAAGGUUCAGGAGUUUAGGUGUUCUGUAAGCUCCUUGUGGGUAGGGAUGGUUUCAUUCUUUGUAUUUUUUGUUCAAUCGUUUUCAAUUGUCCUGCUCUUUAUGACUCCAUUUGGGGUUUUCUUGGCAAAACCUCAAAACUUGGUACUUUUAUGCCUAGCCAUACCACAGUAUCUGGCAUAGAAGAGGCAUUUACUAAUUACUCGUUGAUUGAUUGCUCAAGGUUGCACAUAUAAUGAGUAGCAGAGCCAGCUGGAUUUAUGAUAGUGUUUAGUUGUUUUUUCAGUUGUGCCCAGAUCUUUGUGUCCCCAUUUUGGCAAGAUUUCUGAUAAACUGAUCUAACCUCCCCACUUCCCUAUUUAUGUUAAUACUGCCACUGUUUUCUGAGAUUCACAGGAUGCAAACAUCAGGGUCAUCUUUGAUUUCUUCCUGUCUUUUUGGCUAUCCAAUCAGUAACAAUAAACAGCCAAGAUUUCAUAAUUAUGUAUGAUAU
rnacentral:lncRNA from 1 species